rnacentral:rRNA from 1 species
AUGAAUAAUAAACAUUUAUCAUGUAAUAAGGAAAUAAAUAAUAACUUUAUUAUUGCCUCUAGGGCAUAUUUCCUUCCACUUCCCCUGGGCACUUACGAUGCUAUCCUCAGCAUGGACUGGUUGGAGCAACACAACCCCAUGACAAUAGAUUGGAAGGCGAAGUACAUUCAGUUUCCCACUCCUAUGGGACGGGCUCACCUGUUCGGCCAUGAAGCCAAUUCCACCACUUGCCAUGUGAUCAACAGAGUCCAGGUUCAGAAUCUGCAUCGCCAAGGCUCCCUGUUACAUGUCAUCAUCCUGUAUCGGCUUGAGGAAGGGGCAAACGGCACUCCAACAGAACCUCCUGAGCUGCAACAACUCCUGGCUGAAUUCGAGGAUGUAUUCGGUGAACCUUCAGGCCACCCACCACACCGUGCCUGUGACCAUACUAUACCUGUUGUUCUCAGCGCGCAACCUAUUAACAUCCGACCUUAUCGACACAAACCUGAGCACAAGACAGUGAUUGAGUGUCAAGUGGCGGAAUUGCUUCAGUUCGGUGUGAUCCAACGCAACCAGAGCAACUUCUCUUCGCCUGCCAUUCUAGUCAAGAAGAAGGAUGAGACUUGGCGGUUAUGCAUCGACUACCGCCACCUCAAUGCCAUGACCCGUAUCAGCAAGUUUCCUAUGCCAGUGAUAGAAGAAUUGCUCGAUGAACUCCACGGAGCUAGGUGGUUCUCAAAGCUCGAUCUUCGAGCCGGCUACCAUCAGAUACGGCUGGCUGAGGGCGAGGAGUUCAAAACGGCAUUUCAAACACACUCAUGGACAUGGCAUUAUGAAUUCAAGGUUCUGUCUUUUGGAUUGGCGGGCAGGCCACACGUUCAUCGGUGCUGUGACAGAACAUUACACCCACUCCUCCGGCAUUGUGUCCUCUUGUUCUUCGACGACAUCUUGGUAUUUAGCAAGACAUGGGAAGAACAUGUUGACCACCUCAGGCAAGUCCUCGAGCUGUUGCGUAGAGAUCAUUGGAAGGUCAAGCGCUUCAAAUGUGAAUUCAGCCAGCAACAACUGUCCUAUCUUGGUCACGUCAUCAGCGGCGAAGGGGUAGCUACGGAGCCCAGCAAAAUUCGCGCGGUACAAGCUUGGAACACACCCAAGGAUGCCAAGGAAGUGCGCCAAUUCCUUGGCCUUGCAGGGUACUAUUGUCGUUUCGUCCGCGGGGUUGGAGUGAUAGCCAUGCCUCUAUUCAACCUACUCAAGAAAGGGGUGCCGUUCGUUUGGACAAAUAACACGGCACAUGCGUUUGAGCUGCUCAAGCAACACCUGAUUACAGCCCCAGUACUCGCACUCCCCGAUUUCAACAAGACCUUCACAGUGGAAACAGACGCCUGCGACAAAGGAAUUGGCGCGGUUCUGCAACAGGAUGGCCACCCCAUCGCCUUCAUGAGCAAAAGUCUGAGUCCCAGGUACCAAGGACUGUCCACUUACAAGAAGGAAUACCUCGCGAUCGUCGUCACCGUGGACCAAUGGCGGCCUUACCUUCAACACAGCGAGUUUAUCAUCCACACGGACCAGAAGAGCCUGAUACAUUUGGAGGAGCAAAGGCUCUCAACACCUUGGCAGCAGCGUGCAUUCAUGAAACUACUAGGCCCGCGAUACACCAUUCGUUACAAAAAGGGCACAGAAAACACAGCCGUCGAUGCCCUAUCCAGAGCUCGAUCGCAAGAUCUACUGUUCAACGUCACUUCUUGCCAGCCCUCAUGGCUCGAGGAUGUCAUAGCCAGUUAUAACUGCGAUCCGCAGGCGCGGAAACUGCUGGAGUAG